rnacentral:rRNA from 1 species
AGUGAACGCUGGCGGUAGGCCUAACACAUGCAAGUCGAACGGCAGCACAGUAAGAGCUUGCUCUUACGGGUGGCGAGUGGCGGACGGGUGAGGAAUACAUCGGAAUCUACUUUUUCGUGGGGGAUAACGUAGGGAAACUUACGCUAAUACCGCAUACGACCUACGGAUGAAAGCAGGGGAUCUUCGGACCUUGCGCGAUUGAAUGAGCCGAUGUCGGAUUAGCUAGUUGGCGGGGUAAAGGCCCACCAAGGCGACGAUCCGUAGCUGGUCUGAGAGGAUGAUCAGCCACACUGGAACUGAGACACGGUCCAGACUCCUACGGGAGGCAGCAGUGGGGAAUAUUGGACAAUGGGCGCAGGCCUGAUCCAGCCAUACCGCGUGGGUGAAGAAGGCCUUCGGGUUGUAAAGCCCUUUUGUUGGGAAAGAAAAGCAGCAGGUUAAUACCCCGCUGUUCUGACGGUACCCAAAGAAUAAGCACCGGCUAACUUCGUG